rnacentral:lncRNA from 1 species
GUUGGCUGUAUCUUUGCACAAUGGGACCUAGACCACAAAACAACAAGGUAACAACUAAAUUCGAGGUUGCUGAUUGGUAAAAGCAUAUACAUUGCUGCAAACUGCCGAAAACUGAGCAUAACUCUAAGUUAUUAGGAAUUGUUGUUUCCACCUCUGAGGUCAACAGUUCCGAGGAUUGUUACCUUCCUGCUCCACUCAUCCCCUGAAAAAAAAAAUUGAAAUACGAAGGGAUUUACUACGUGAAUCCCUUUUUCUAUGUUGCAAAAAUUGAGCUUAAAACAUGGGAACUGGAUAGUGUGAGAGUUAAAUACUGCUCUGGAGAAAACUAACUAUGCUAAUAGAACUAAAACAAGAAAACUUAACCCUAAGAUUCAUCGAAGCAAUUAGAGGUCACAGAGUCCCUUCCCUAUCCCCCACCCUCCAAAAGAUAAAUACACAACCGGAAAAGGAACAAUCAGAACUCCUACAUAUAAAAUUGACAAUUGACAUGCUUUGGCAAUUUUUCCGAUAUUGCAUAAGAUCUAUGUGUGUUGAAGUUUCACUUAUUCCCGAGUUGAAUUACUUCAAUUUGGGAAAGGUUUCAAAUUCACAGAUGUCAAUCCCUAGAUUUGGAGACCCCAUUAUUUAGAUAUCUGGUUCUAAUAACUAAUAACACGAGUUCAAUCAAUCCAAAUAUUCAGAUUAGCAAAUUGAUAAGGGUGGUUUGUACUUUACGCAUCGAGGAC